GGACCCAAUACAGUGCCUUCUUAGCUCCCCUGAGAAGCAAGCUGAAGAGCGGCCCCAAGUGACAACUGUGGGACUCACGGCUGGGCCUUGCCCCCCACACCAGCACCGCCUGGGAUGAAUCACACACCAGAGAACAACGGGGCUAUUUCUUGAGAGUCAUUUGUCAAGUUGACAUCCCUGCCUAGAGUUAUUUAGGGCUUUCUAAAGACACUUUUUUCCCUCCCCGUUGCAGGAAGCACCUGCGAGGCUGUUGAGUUGUGGUUUUGCUCAAUAGCACUUUGAUAUCCCUUUAAGGCCAUCAAUUACCCUUCUGUCCUUGCCGGCAUGGGCUUUGCCUGAUACAAAGAUAGGAAAGCUUAAAGAGGAUGAUGAAGAGGAAGAUGACGAUGGGCCUCAAUGUAACGUGACUGGUGCCCUUAUAAAAGAGGAGGUGAAGACAGACACACACAGAAGGAAGACAAUUAGAAGACACAAGAAGGAAACAGCCAUCUACAUGCCAAGAGGAGAGAGAGGCCUCAAGGAAACCAACUCUGCUGAUACCUCCAUCUUGGACUUUUAGCCUCUAGAACUCUCACCAGGGUCUCCUGUUUUGGCCUCAUCUAUGAAACCUGAUGUGU